rnacentral:tmRNA from 1 species
GGGGGCGACAUAGUUUCGACGGUUGGGGGACGGUUUUUCAAGCAUAUCGGCGGGGCAACCAUACGUAAUUGGUUGCAAAACGACAAAUGCAAGUCCAAAAAAUGCACGCUUUGCCUACGCCCUUGCUGCCUGACUUUCGUUAGACGGCGGGGUUUCCGCAAAGACCAACGCAACAUUUAACCUUUUUAAUGGGCGUUGGAAAACAAAGGGUGAAUGGGGUAACAAAUUCCUUGCAACCGAAGUUGUUAUUCGGCACAAAAUGAUUGCACUUCCGUAAUUCUUUGCCGUUAAUCUGUUGCGGACAGUAAAUAAGUAACGGAUAAAUAUGUAGAAAGAAAAACAACAAGCCAAUCGGACCCGGGUGCGACCCCCGGCGUCUCCACCA